rnacentral:lncRNA from 1 species
UUCAAAACGGCUCAAUCAUAAGAUAAGUUCAACUCUGAGAGUUGAAUUCACACAACACAAAGAAGUUUCUCAGAAUGCUUCUGUGUAGUUUUUAUGUGAAGAUAUUUCCUUUUCCACCAUAGGCCGCAAAGGGCUCCAAAUAUCCACUUGCAGAUCUACAAAAAGAGAGAUUCAAAACUGCUCAAUCAAAAGAUAAGUUCAACAAUGUGAGUUGAAUGCACACAUCACAAAGA